AUGUUGUAUGAAAGAAGAGAAGGUUAGCACUUCCCUUGACAAGGAUGGAAGAGGCCCUUGGACCUCACAACACGUGUAUGUUUCAGGCAUUGCCACCUACUUCAUGGCAUCUAACCAUCAUUUUAC